rnacentral:rRNA from 1 species
CCUAAUUAAUCCUUGUAGCAGUCAUAUGCUUGUCUCAAUGAUUAAAUGACCACGCAUGUGCAAGUAUGAACUAAUUCGAACCAUGAAAAUGCGAAUGGCUCAUGAAAUUAGUUAUAGUUUGUUUAAUGGUACAUGCUACACAGAUAAACAUAAUAAUUCUAGAGAAAACACGUGCAACCAAAACCGACUUCCGAGAGGAGCACAUUUAUUAGAUAAAUGGCUGACAUGGGCUCUACUCGCUGAUCCAAUGAUUCAUGAUAACUUGACGGAGCACACGACCCUCAUGCCGGUGAUGCAUCAUUCAAAUUUAUGCCCUAUCAUCUUUCGGUGGUAGGAUAGGGGCCUACCAUGGUGGUGGCGGGUGAUGGAAAAUUAGGGUUAGAUUUUGGAGAGGGAGCCUGAAAUGGCUAGCACAUUCAUGGAAGCCCAUAGGCACGCCAAUUACCCAAUAUUGACACGGGUAGGUAGUGACAAUAAUGAAAAUACUAGGCGCUUUUGUGUGUCAUAAUUGGAAUGAGUACACUCUAAAUCCCUUAACAAGGAUCCAUUGGAGGGAAAGUAUGGUGCCAGCAACCAAGGUACUUUUAGCUGCAAUAGCGUAUAUUUAAGUUGUUUCAGUUGAAAAGCUCAUAGUUCGAUGUUGGGCUAGGUCGGCUAGUCCAUCUCACCACGUGAACCGACCUACUCAACCCUUCUGUCCACGAUGCGCUCCUAGCCUUAAUUGGCAGGGUUGUGCCUCUAUUGUUGUUACAUUGAAGAAGUUAGAGUGCUCAAAGCAAAUCAUCGCUCUAGAUACAUUAGCAUGUCAUACUGUUUUAUGAAAGAAUUUGCCAAGGAUGUUAUCAUUAAUCAAGAAUGAAAGUCAUUGGGGGCUCGAAGAUGAUUAGGUAUCGUCCUAGUCUCAAUCCAAAAAAUGUUGACUGGGGAAUGACAGAUGUUGCUUAUAGGACUCCAUCAACACCUUAUGAGAAAUCAAAGUAUUUUUGUUCCUUGGGGAGUAUGGAUGCAAGGCUAAAACUUAAAGGAAUUGAUGGAAGGCCAUGAUAAGAUAUGUAACCUUUGGCUUAAUUUGACUCAACAUGGGGACACUUAUCACAUCUAGACAUAGCAAGGAUUAACAAACUGAGUGUUCUUUCUUGAUACUAUGGGUGGUGGUGCAUGGUCGAUCUUAUUUGGUGGAGCGAUUUGAUUGGUUAAUUUCAUUAACGAACGAGACCCUAGCCUGCUAACUAGCUAUGUGGAUCCAUCCCUCCAUAGUUAGCUUCUUAGAGGGACUUUGGCCAUUUAGGCAUGGAAGUUUGAGGCUAUAAUAGGUCUGAGAUGCCCUUAGAUGUUUUGGGCCACAUGCGUGCUACACUAAUGUAUUCAACAAGUAUAUAGUCUUGACUGACAGACUCGACCAAUCUUCAGAAACUUCAUCAUGAUGGGGAUAUAUCACUAUAAUUGUUGGUCUUUAAUGAGGAAUGCCUAGUAAGCAUGAGGCAUCAGCUCGUUGACUGCGUCUCUACCCUUUGUACACACCGCCCGUCGCUCCUACUGAUUGAUGGUCUGGUGAAGUGUUCAGAUCACGGCGAUAGUGGCAGUUUACCAUCCCUGACAUCGUGAAGUCCAUUGAACCUUAUGAUUUAGAGGAAGGAAUUCAUAACAAGGUUUACAUAGGUGAACCCGUCGAAG